rnacentral:rRNA from 1 species
ACAGCAGUAGCCGCGGUAAUACGUAGGUGGCAAGCGUUGUCCGGAAUUAUUGGGCGUAAAGGGCUCGCAGGCGGUUUCUUAAGUCUGAUGUGAAAGCCCCCGGCUCAACCGGGGAGGGUCAUUGGAAACUGGGAAACUUGAGUGCAGAAGAGGAGAGUGGAAUUCCACGUGUAGCGGUGAAAUGCGUAGAGAUGUGGAGGAACACCAGUGGCGAAGGCGACUCUCUGGUCUGUAACUGACGCUGAGGAGCGAAAGCGUGGGGAGCGAACAGGAUUAGAUACCCCGGUAGUCCCUGUCUCUUAUAC